ACAAACGCUGGCGGCAUGCCUAACACAUGCAAGUCGAACGAGACCUUCGGGUCUAGUGGCGCACGGGUGCGUAACGCGUGGGAAUCUGCCCUUGGGUCCGGAAUAACUCAGAGAAAUUUGAGCUAAUACCGGAUGAUGACGUAAGUCCAAAGAUUUAUCGCCCAGGGAUGAGCCCGCGUAAGAUUAGGUAGUUGGUGGGGUAAGGACCGUACCAACGCCGACGAUCUUUAGUCUGGUCUGAGAGGAUGAUCAGCCACACUGGGACGUGAGACACGGCCC
rnacentral:rRNA from 1 species